rnacentral:rRNA from 1 species
UGAAUACGAGACGCUAAGGCGUCGAAGUAGUGUAUGUCAUACUUCCAAGAAAAGCUUGCACUGUCAUAGAUAAAAAACGCCUGUACCAUAACCGACACAGGUGGGUAGGUAGAGUAUACUAAGGGGCGCGAGAUAACUCUCUCUAAGGAACUCGGCAAAAUAACUCCGUAACUUCGGGAGAAGGAGUGCCUUAUUCGUAAGGUUGCAAUAACAAGAUCCAAGCAACUGUUUAUCAAAAACACAGGUCUCCGCUAAGUCGUAAGACGAUGUAUGGGGGCUGACGCCUGCCCAGUGCCAGAAGGUUAAAGAAGUUGGUUAGCAAUUGCGAAGCUGAUAACUGAAGCCCUGGUGAACGGCGGCCGUAACAAUAACGGUCCUAAGGUAGCGAAAUUCCUUGUCGGGUAAGUUCCGACCCGCACGAAAGGCGUAAUGAUUUGGAUACUGUCUCGGAGAGGGGCUCGGUGAAAUAGACUUGUCUGUGAAGAUGCGGACUACCUGCACCAGGACAGAAGGACCCCAUGAAGCUUUACUGUAACUUGAAAUUGAAAUUGGACUUUAUUCGCGCAGUAUAGGUGGGAGGCGUUGAUUAUAAUCUUGUGGGAUUAUUGGAGCCAUCAGUGAGAUACCACUCUUGUAAUGUUAGAUUUCUAACUUUGAAUCAUUAUCUGGUCAAAGAACAGUUUCAGGCGGGCAGUUUGACUGGGGCGGUCGCCUCCUAAACGGUAACGGAGGCGUACAAAGGUUUCCUCUGAACGGUUAGAAAUCGUAUCUAGAGUGUAAAGGCAUAAGGAAGCUUGACUGUGAGACCUACAAGUCGAGCAGGGACGAAAGUCGGUCUUAGUGAUCUGACGGUACUGAGUGGAAAGGCCGUCACUCAACGGAUAAAAGUUACUCUAAGGAUAACAGGCUGAUCUCCCCCAAGAGUUCACAUCGACGGGGAGGUUUGGCACCUCGAUGUCGGCUCAUCGCAUCCUGGGGCGGUAGUACGUCCCAAGGGUUGGGCUGUUCGCCCAUGAAAGCGGUACGCGAGCUGGGUUCAGAACGUCGUGAGACAGUUCGGUCCAUAUCCGGUGUAGGCGUUAGAAUAUUGAGAGGAGCCUUCUUUAGUACGAGAGGACCGAGAAGGACAUACCUCUGGUGUACCAGUUAUCGUGCCAACGGUAAACGCUGGGUAGCUAUGUAUGGAGUGGAUAACCGCUGAAAGCAUCUAAGUGGGAAGCCCACCUCAAGAUAAGUAUUCUCACC